rnacentral:rRNA from 1 species
CCUACGGGUGGCUGCAGUAGGGAAUAUUGCUCAAUGGGGGAAACCCUGAAGCAGCAACGCAGCGUGGAGGAUGACGGUUUUCGGAUUGUAAACUCCUUUUGUUAGAGAAGUUAAUGACGGUAUCUAACGAAUAAGCACCGGCUAACUCCGUGCCAGCAGCCGCGGUACUACGGAGGGUGCAGGCGUUACUCGGAAUCACUGGGCGUAAAGAGCGCGUAGGCGGGAUAGCAAGUCAGAUGUGAAAUCCUCGGGCUUAACCAUAGAACUGCAUUUGAAACUGUUAUUCUAGAGUAUGGGAGAGGUAGGUGGAAUUCGUGGUGUAGGGGUAAAAUCCUUAGAGAUCAAGAGGAAUACUCAUUGCGAAGGCGACCUGCUAGAACAUAACUGACGCUGAUGCGCGAAAGCGUGGGUAGCAAACAGGAUUAGAUACCCCAGUAGUC